rnacentral:rRNA from 1 species
GGACUACCGGGGUAUCUAAUCCUGUUUGCUCCCCUUGCUCUCGCGCCUCAGCGUCAGGUAUAAACUAGAAAACCGCUUUCGCCACAGGUGUUCUUCCACAUAUCUACGCAUUUCACCGCUACACGUGGAAUUCCGUUUUCUCCGUCAAUCCUCGAGAAUUGGAGUUUCAAAUGCAGCUCCGAAGUUGAGCUUCGGAAUUUCACAUCUGACUUUCAUUCCCGCCUACGCGCCCUUUACGCCCAAUAAUUCCGAUUAAUGCUUGCACUCUCCGUAUUACCGCGGCGGCUGGCAC